GGAGAGGUGCUGGAGUGGCCUAACAGGCACGCCUGGAAAGCGUGAGUAGCCGUAAAGGUUACCGUGGGUUCGAAUCCCACCCUCUCCGCCA
rnacentral:tRNA from 1 species